CCUACGGAGUGCAGCAGUGGGGAAUAUUGGACAAUGGGCGAAAGCCUGAUCCAGCCAUGCCGCGUGUGUGAAGAAGGCCUUCGGGUUGUAAAGCACUUUCAGUGGGGAAGAAAGCCUUGGGGCUAAUACCCUCGAGGAAGGACAUCACCCACAGAAGAAGCACCGGCUAACUCCGUGCCAGCAGCCGCGGUAAUACGGAGGGUGCGAGCGUUAAUCGGAAUUACUGGGCGUAAAGCGCGCGUAGGCGGUCUGAUAAGCCGGUUGUGAAAGCCCCGGGCUCAACCUGGGAACGGCAUCCGGAACUGUCAGGCUAGAGUGCAGGAGAGGAAGGUAGAAUUCCCGGUGUAGCGGUGAAAUGCGUAGAGAUCGGGAGGAAUACCAGUGGCGAAGGCGGCCUUCUGGACUGACACUGACGCUGAGGUGCGAAAGCGUGGGUAGCAAACAGGAUUAGAUACCCUAGUAGUC
rnacentral:rRNA from 1 species